AUUUGAUCUAACAUAACAUAAGUUUUUUACUAUAUAAAGUGAUCACACAAUUAUAUAUUUACAAUUAUAUGCAAGUGUGAAAAAAUGGCUAGAAUUCCCAAGUUUGUUUAUGUUAUGAUCCUUUUUGUAUCCCUAUUCCUCAUAGUAGUUGAUGUUUGUGGAAAGUGCAAUUCUGACGCUGAGUGUAGAGAACGAUGGAUCAUGUGUCCCCUUGAAACAGUAGUCAAGUGUGUUGAGGAUGAAUGCAUAUGUGUUCACUAGUCAUGGACAAGCAAUGUUGGAUCACGUAGCUUGUGAAAGUGGAAUUAAGGCUUAUGCCAACUUUAUUUUUUAUUUUUUUUUUUAUUAUUGUUGGUUAUGUUAGAAUCCUUGGGAUCUAAUGUUGUUAUUUGUUUUAUUUUUAGCUUUGCAAACUUAUGAAUAAAAACAUUAUUGUAUUAUUUAUAUUUUGUAAAAUAAAGAUUAUGUUUUUAUAAUGUGAAAAACUAGUGUGCA